CAGAUACAGAGAAAAAUAUUUGAGAGAGAAAUUUACCAAUAACUAUCUAACACUUAAUCCCCCUUCCAGUUGGGAUAUUUAUUAGGAAAGUUGAACUGGAACUUCUAGAGGAUUAAUAUCUGUCGUCGAUAAUCUCUAAUCUCAACUGCUAAUCAUAAGUUAGCCGCCAACUAGAUUGCUACUUGUCUGAUUCUCCUCCACACCUGUGUCCAACUCUACUUUACCCUUUUUAUUUACUUUACUUUUUAUUCCUUAAUUCCUUUCUUCAAUUAGGAAACCCUAGAACAUCACAACUCUCUCACAGUCAAAACAACCUCAUCUAAAACAACCUUAUCCUUAAGGUUGUGUUUGAGCUAUGAACUAAGGGAAACGACUCUGGAUAUAACUCCAAUCCUUCCAUAUGGAUUCGUUUACAUCCAGAUUAGCCCAAUGAACAAGCACUUGCACUGUUGCAGUAUUUUUGACCUUGACUAUUUGAUUGCGUAGGAUAGAUAAUGGCUCCACUAGUACACAUUCGUCUUCAUCAUAAAUUAGGGGUUGCUACUGAGAGCUGUUGUCUGGACCUAUAAGUCGAUUGAGCUACUAUAUAUGGAAUACAAGGCUGAUCUGUGAUCCCAAGAAAAGCUCCAAAUGGUAACCCACCAUUCCAAUCCUAUCAAUUACCUUUUGGUUCUUUGCAAUUGUAGAAUAAGUGAAGAAAGUUUCUUCCCUAAUGCAAGUGGCUGAUAUAUGGUAAUGCCUGAAGUGCUUUGCGGCCGUAGAAGGAAGUAAUUCUGCUGCCGUCUUGGUCAUGAAAAGAUCGAUCGUAGGUAUCUACUUUCUUCAUAUUACCAAUAGUAUUUAUUAACUUGAGGCUAAGUCAACUUGUUGAUUAUGAAGACCGGUGUAUCCAAUAGUAUUUAAUCAAGGGGUUGGGGAAAAUGUUUGUAUUGAUCCUAAACAAUGGCAAUAGCAGGACUCCUAAGCUAUGGCACACACAUAAAGCGUUCCACGAGUUAAGGGUUCAUUUUAAUAGAUUUAUCAAAGAGGAUUACUAUAGCUAUAUCAUUAUUGAUGCACCUUUAACUUGAUUUGUAGAUUGCUUUUUUGGGCUAAUUGAUUCAAUGUGCCCCUAACUUAAUUUUGCAUUUUUCGGUUGAUUGAUUCUUGAAGACAAGAGUAUGGACAACGAAACAUCUUUUUCUGCUUUUAUUUCCUUCUAUUCUGGUUGCACUUGGGCUACUCUAUAGGAUUGCUUCACUUCUUCAAGCUUCGCCCCUUCUUUCAAACAAUGCUAACGAUUAAGAAAAUGGAUGCGCUAUGGCUCUGUGGUUUUCGUGUACCUACCAUAUUUCUUCCUUUAUGGUAGUGGUCUACAUCUAUAGCAAAAUACUCUUUAUCAUGUCAUUUAUGGUACUAUUUCAGCUUAAACAAUUUAAUAUGAUUUUGAUCUGUUUCUCUGUGUUAAAAACUGCUUGGAGGUGAGGGGAGUACCGCUGGCAUAUAUCAGAGCAAUCAAGGAUAUGUAUGAUGGAGCGAAAACUAAGGUGAGGACGGCGGGAGGAGACUCAGAACAUUUCACGGUCCGGACAGGGUUGCAUCAGGGAUCUACUCUUUAGUCCCUUUUUGUUUGCAGUGGUAAUGGAUGUGUUGACGCGGCGUAUUCAAGGGGAGGUGCCGUGGUGUAUGCUUUUUGCAGACGAUGUAGUUCUGAUAGCUGAGACCCGAGAGGGUGUGAGCGACAAAUUAGAGGUGUGGAGGCAAACCCUUGAGUAUAAAGGGUUCAGGGUGAGCAGAAGCAAGACAGAGUAUGUGGAAUGCAAGUUUAAUGACAUGAGGAGGGAGAACGAGGUAGUAGUGAAGCUGGAAUAACAGGAGGUAGGUAAGAGGGAGAGUUUCAAGUAUCUCGGGUCCGUGAUCCAGAGUAACGGUGAGAUUGAUGAGGAUGUCUCGCACCGUAUUGGGGCGGGAUGGAUGAAGUGGAAGCUCGCGUCGGGGGUGCUGUGUGAUAAGAAGGUGCCGCCUAAGCUUAAAGGCAAAUUCUACAGGGCGGUAGUCCGUCCGGCCAUGUUGUAUGGAGCGGAGUGUUGGCCAGUGAAGAACUCCCACAUCCAAAAGAUGAGGGUGGCAGAAAUGCGGAUGUUGGGCUGGAUGUGUGGGCUGACUAGAGGGGAUAGAGUUCGGAAUGAGAACAUCCGGGAGAAGGUUGGUGUGACACCAGUGGAGUGCAAGAUGCGGGAAGCCCGAUUGAGAUGGUUCGGACACGUGAAGAGGAGAGGCAUGGAUGCCCCGGUCCGUAGGUGUGAGAGGCUAGCGUUGGAUGGGUUUAAGCGGGGUAGGGGUAGGCCGAAGAAGUACUGGGGUGAGGUGAUUAGGCGAGACAUGGAGCAGUUACAGCUCACCGAGGACAUGACCCUAGAUAGGAAGGUCUGGAGGACGCGAAUCAGGGCAGAGGACUAGGGCCAGCCUGAGUCGCUAGUGUAGGGAACUACUUGGUGGGGGUUUAUGCAUGUUAGGAGCCUGUGUCCCAUGUUUUAUUAUGGAUCUGUGUGUUUUCCUUUGUUUUAGAUUACUUAUGGGUGCCGUAUUUAUGUUAUGUAAUCUUGUAACCUUGUGCUGUGCUUUACUAUGUGUUUGUGUGGUACCGCGUGUCUUGAGCCGGGGGUCUAUCGGAAACAGCCUUUCUACUUCUUCAGAGGUAGAGGUAUGGACUGCGUACAUCCUACCCCCCAAGACCCCACCAGGUGGGAAUACACUGGGUUUGUUGUUGUUGUUGUUGUUCUCUGUGUUAAAAACAUCAUGUAUAGGUCUUACAAGAAGUAUUGAGGUGCUAUUCCAUCCCAGAAAAUAUGUUUGGCAGAGUUUGCAUCAUUAUAGACAAGAUUGGUAAGAUUCCAAUGGAUGAUAUCAGGAAAGAUCUGCAGUCUGUUGAUAUGUCAGAGGUAGGUAUUGAAGAAAUAAUGCAAAUCCUAUCACUGAAGUCUUUGGCGAAGUUAGAAGAGAAACAUUGUGCCUUGGGAGAAGCACUACCUGAUUUGAAGCAACUAUUUCACUUGCUGAGAAGUAUGGCUAUUCAGAGUGGCUUCAGUUUGAUGCAUCAAUUGUUUGUGGUUUGGCCUAUUACACUGGGAUUGUCUUUGAGGAUUUGAUCGUGAAGGAAAACUCCGCGCCAUCUGUGGUGGUGGACGAUAUGAACGGCUAUUGUCUACCUUUGGAGGCGAUGAUCUUCCAGCUUGUGGAUUUGGAUUUGGUGAUGCUGUAAUAGUAGAGAUUAAAGGCUAGAGUUGCCUAUCCAAGACCUAUGUCAAGCUUAUUCUAAUGCAUUUCAUUUCCUGUUUAACAUCCAAAGCUGGUUGCAGUGUCAAAUAUUGUUGCCUUUGCACAUCCAAAUGCACCACUAAUAACCACGAUUAGUACAGGGAAACACACGAAAUGAAGUGUCCAAAAUGAAGAAGGAGAUGAAGAAAGAAGUGAUAAAGAAACUGACCUUACUUGAGAAGAUUUUUGUAUUUUUUCUUUAAUAUUGAUCUUUUUGAUAUUGGAUUUAGUGAAACUUAUCACCACUCAAACUUGAUACUAUAUGGAAAAAUUAAUGAUCAUUUGACUUUAUACA